UUUAUCCAGUCACAGGUGGUGAAGUC
rnacentral:piRNA from 1 species